rnacentral:misc_RNA from 1 species
GAGUCUAAUGAGGUGCAGCA